rnacentral:rRNA from 1 species
UACGUACUGCGCGAGCGUUAUUCGGAAUCACUGGGCGUAAAGGGUGCGUAGGCGGUUCAAUUAGUCAGGUGUGAAAUCCCACGGCCCAACCGUGGAACUGCACUUGAAACUGUUGAACUUGAGCAAUCUAGGGGUAAGCGGAACUUCCGGUGGAGCGGUGAAAUGUGUUGAGAUCGGAAGGAACACCAAGAGCGAAAGCAGCUUACUGGGGAUUGUCUGACGCUGAGGCACGAAAGCUAGGGGAGCGAACGGG